AAAAAGACAAACCCUGGAUUUCCGUGUCCAACUUUAACUGUCCGUUUUAUAUGAAAUUUUUUUAUAAUUCGUAUUUUCAUUGUUGUUAGAUGAUAAAAACAUGAUUAAUAUUUUAUGUGUGACUUAUCUUUUUAAUUUUUUUUAUAAUUUUUUUAAAUAAGAUGGACGGUCAAAUGUUGGACACGGAAACC
rnacentral:pre_miRNA from 1 species